rnacentral:rRNA from 1 species
ACGGAAGGCAGCAGUGGGGAGUAUUGCACAAUGGAGGAAACCCUGACCCAGCAACGCCGCGUGAGGGAAGAAGGCUUUCGGGUUGUAAACCUCUUUUAGUAGGGACGAAUAAAUGACGGUACCUACAGAAAAAGCAACGGCUAACUACGUGCCAGCAGCCGCGGUAAUACGUAGGUUGCAAGCGCUGUCCGGAUUUACUGGGUGUAAAGGGCGUGUAGGCGGAGCUGCAAGUCAGAUGUGAAAUCCCGGGGCUCAACCCCGGAACUGCAUUUGAAACUGUAGCCCUUGAGUAUCGGAGAGGCAAGCGGAAUUCCUAGUGUAGCGGUGAAAUGCGUAGAUAUUAGGAGGAACACCAGUGGCGAAGGCGGCUUACUGGACUGUAACUGACGUUGAGGCUCGAAAGCGUGGGGAGCAAACAGGAUCAGAUACCCUGGUA